CCUACGGGAGGCUGCAGUGAGGAAUAUUGCUCAAUGGACGAGAGUCUGAUCCAGCCAAGUCGCGUGAAGGAUGACUGCCCUCUGGGUUGUAAACUUCUUUUAUAUGGGAAUAAACUGUUCCACGUGUGGGAUUUUGUAUGUACCAUAUGAAUAAGGAUCGGCUAACUCCGUGCCAGCAGCCGCGGUAAUACGGAGGAUCCGAGCGUUAUCCGGAUUUAUUGGGUUUAAAGGGAGCGUAGGUGGAUUGUUAAGUCAGUUGUGAAAGUUUGCGGCUCAACCGUAAAAUUGCAGUUGAAACUGGCAGUCUAGAGUACUGUAGAGGUGGGCAGAAUUCGUGGUGUAGCGGUGAAAUGCUUAGAGAUCACGAAGAACUCCGAUUGCGAAGGCAGUUCACUGGACUGAAACUGACACUGAGGCUCGAAAGUGUGGGUAGCAAACAGGAUUAGAUACCCGAGUAGUC
rnacentral:rRNA from 1 species